UCUUGAAUGGUGUAAUGGAAACACGCCUGCAGAAAGUGGUCGAAAAGAAGUGUUGAACGCAGGCGCUGCGGGUUCAAGUCCUGCUUCAGGAU